rnacentral:siRNA from 1 species
GGAAAGUGCUUAGCAAAACUUUA